rnacentral:rRNA from 1 species
UACGUAGGGUGCAAGCGUUAUCCGGAAUUAUUGGGCGUAAAGAGCUCGUAGGCGGUUUGUCGCGUCUGCUGUGAAAACUGGGGGCUCAACCCCCAGCCUGCAGUGGGUACGGGCAGACUAGAGUGCGGUAGGGGAGAUUGGAAUUCCUGGUGUAGCGGUGAAAUGCGCAGAUAUCAGGAGGAACACCGGUGGCGAAGGCGGAUCUUUGGGCCAUUACUGACGCUGAGGAGCGAAAGCGUGGGGAGCGAACAGG